rnacentral:rRNA from 1 species
AGCAGCCGCGGUAAUUCCAGCUCCAAUAGCGUAUAUUAAAGUUGUUGCAGUUAAAAAGCUCGUAGUUGAAUUUCGGGAUUGGCGCAUCGGUCGUGCCUCACGGGGUAUGAACUGGUGCAGUCAAUUUCUCACCUUCUGGAGAACCGCGAUGUCCUUAAUUGGAUGCCGCGGGGAACCAGGACCUUUACUUUGAAAAAAUUAGAGUGUUUAAAGCAGGCAUUUUUGCUUGAAUACAUUAGCAUGGAAUAAUAAAAUAGGACGGCAUGGUUCUAUUUUGUUGGUUUCUAGGACCACCGUAAUGAUUAAUAGGGAUAGUUGGGGGCAUUAGUAUUCAAUUGUCAGAGGUGAAAUUCUUGGAUUUAUUGAAGACUAACUACUGCGAAAGCAUUUGCCAAGGGUGUUUUCAUUAAUCAAGAACGAAAGUUAGGGGAUCGAAGACGAUCAGAUACCGUCGUAGUCUUAACCAUAAACUAUGCCGACUAGGAAUCAGACGAUGUUAAUUUUUAAUGUACUCGU